GGGGUCGACUGGUUUUGACAGCAAGUCGAAUUGAACAGUAAGCACGUCGAGAAAUGAGGCCGUUCUCGUAAAAAAUAGCUUCAAAACUUUACACGGCGAAGGAAACUACGCUCUAGCUGCAUAAUCUGAAUUACAGUAAGAUUAGCCUCGUCCUACCAGGUAGGAAAGCCAGAUUCACCUCGAAAGCCCUGAUUCUAGGCGGUCGAUACAGGUGAAUCGUAAAUUAGAAUCUAAGAACAGUUGCGCUUUGAGGCUGUUACGAAAACCAAAGAAGCUAAGAAAUUGGUGGUUGUUUCUGACCGAGCCGAUUGACGAAAAUCCAUUCAGAAAAUAAACGUGUAGAAAGCUCUUUAGUUGCUUGUUUGGACGGGAGUUCGACUCUCCCCGACUCCACAU
rnacentral:tmRNA from 1 species